rnacentral:rRNA from 1 species
AUGUCAAAUUUAACUUUAUUUUGCCAUGGAAAAAUAUUACCUUCAUUUGCCAUGGCAAAUUUACAUUUAAAUACAUGGAAAAAUAAAUCUAACAUAUAUGGCAAAUUUUACUCCAAUCGCUCAUGCCAAAUACACCUUUUUUGGACCAUGGCAAAUUUACUUUAUCUAACCAUGGCAAAUUACCUAUAUUAUUGCCAUGGCAAAAGCAAAGUAGAGAAAACAAAAUUUUGCCAUGUCAAUUUUACUUCAUUUUGCCAUGGCAAAACUCGUCGUUGUCAAGGCCAUGUUACUCAUGUCGCUCGUGCUCGCCGCCGCGCACCUCGCCAUGGCCUAGCGGACGAGCAGCCGUGA